GCGCCCAUAGCUCAGCUGGAUAGAGUAACUGGCUUCGAACCAGUUGGUCGGGAGUUCGAAUCUCUCUGGGCGUACCA
rnacentral:tRNA from 1 species